rnacentral:lncRNA from 1 species
AAAAGAGAAAAAAAUGAAUAUUUAACAUUGAUUUGCAAAAUUUAAUCGGAGUCACCAAAUGUGCUUGAGAAUCGGUCCAAACAUAGCAACAAUGAAUUGGAAUGUUGUAUGUGAAAUAGGAACGCGGUAAAGUCGUAUAAUUGAUAUUACAAUUUUGAGCGGUAUAUCGGUACGAAUUACCAAAUCCACAUUUUAAUUCGACUACCCAUACAAUGAAUUUGCACCAUGAUCAACUGAAUUAUUCACCAAUAAUCAUCAUGAAUUAUCUAAUCAAACCCAAAAUAACACAGGAAAUUACGAUUUAUCCCAACACAACAUUGUAACUCGAUUUGCAGCAGUAGAAAGAACGAAUAAUACUUACGCCUCUAAAACAAACUUAAGCUUAUUUACAGGUGGAGUGAUUUUUAGCAGCAAUCAUUUUUGACAUUUAAUUAUCGCAUAGCAUAAACCAAAUCAUGAAAGCAGCUUAUGAUGAGCUUCUAGUACGAGCAUGAAUCUAUUACAGUUCUUUUUUUUUAAACUCUAAAAUAAACCUUAACUAUUGUUUAAACUAUAUACACAAACAAAUUCCAGCAUAAUGCUUCAAAUGAAAUGUAACAGAAGCAAUUUAGACAGAUACGAAAUUAAACCCGGAAUAAAACAGCCACACCAAAUACAAUGCCACUACUCAUGAUCGCCUUUCAAUCACAAACAAUCAAACAAAGAAUCCAGAUGUAUGAUGAUAACGAAAUUACAAUUCGACAAAAAACAAACAGAAAUAAUUCAAUCUCAGAGAUGCCGCUAAUACCAAUCCAAAUUUCGAGCAGUAAAGUAAAGCCAACAUCAAAAUUUGUUUUGAAUCGUUACCUUCGUGUCGUCGUAUUGAACCAAACACUGGAUAGUCUCUAUCAAAGUUUUGCAGAUGCUCCUCCUUGAAGAACAAAGGCUUCACGGCUGUUCCCUCUUGGCUUCUCGAAAUCACUAUGGUUCCAAAGUUCCCAAUAAUGAGCUUCAAACCUUCCUGCAAACUUCAAAUAC